CGGCAGCACGGGCUUCGGCCUGGUGGCGAGUGGCGAACGGGUGAGUAAUACAUCGGAACGUGCCCUGUAGUGGGGGAUAACUAGUCGAAAGAUUAGCUAAUACCGCAUACGACCUGAGGGUGAAAGCGGGGGACCGUAAGGCCUCGCGCUACAGGAGCGGCCGAUGUCUGAUUAGCUAGUUGGUGGGGUAAGAGCCUACCAAGGCGACGAUCAGUAGCUGGUCUGAGAGGACGAUCAGCCACACUGGGACUGAGACACGGCCCAGACUCCUACGGGAGGCAGCAGUGGGGAAUUUUGGACAAUGGGGGCAACCCUGAUCCAGCAAUGCCGCGUGUGUGAAGAAGGCCUUCGGGUUGUAAAGCACUUUUGUCCGGAAAGAAAUCGCGCUGGUUAAUACCUGGCGUGGAUGACGGUACCGGAAGAAUAAGCACCGGCUAACUACGUGCCAGCAGCCGCGGUAAUACGUAGGGUGCGAGCGUUAAUCGGAAUUACUGGGCGUAAAGCGUGCGCAGGCGGUUUGAUAAGACAGGCGUGAAAUCCCCGAGCUCAACUUGGGAAUGGCGCUUGUGACUGUCAGGCUAGAGUAUGUCAGAGGGGGGUAGAAUUCCACGUGUAGCAGUGAAAUGCGUAGAGAUGUGGAGGAAUACCGAUGGCGAAGGCAGCCCCCUGGGACGUCACUGACGCUCAUGCACGAAAGCGUGGGGAGCAAACAGGAUUAGAUACCCUGGUAGUCCACGCCCUAAACGAUGUCAACUAGUUGUUGGGGAUUCAUUUCUUCAGUAACGUAGCUAACGCGUGAAGUUGACCGCCUGGGGAGUACGGUCGCAAGAUUAAAACUCAAAGGAAUUGACGGGGACCCGCACAAGCGGUGGAUGAUGGUGGAUUAAUUCGAUGCAACGCGAAAAACCUUACCUACCCUUGACAUGCCACUAACGAAGCAGAGAUGCCUUAGGUGCCCGAAAGGGAAAGUGGACACAGGUGCUGCAUGGCUGUCGUC
rnacentral:rRNA from 1 species